rnacentral:rRNA from 1 species
CCUACGGGAGGCAGCAGUGGGGAAUCUUAGACAAUGGGGGCAACCCUGAUCUAGCCAUGCCGCGUGAGUGAUGAAGGCCUUAGGGUUGUAAAGCUCUUUCAGCUGGGAAGAUAAUGACGGUACCAGCAGAAUAAGCCCNGGCUAACUCCGUGCCAGCAGCCGCG